rnacentral:rRNA from 1 species
UCAUGAUGAACGCUAGCUACAGGCUUAACACAUGCAAGUCGAGGGGAAACGACAUCGAAAGCUUGCUUUCGAUGGGCGUCGACCGGCGCACGGGUGAGUAACGCGUAUCCAACCUGCCCAUCACUUGGGGAUAACCUUGCGAAAGUAAGACUAAUACCCAAUGACGUCUCUAGAAGACAUCUGAAGGAGAUUAAAGAUUUAUCGGUGAUGGAUGGGGAUGCGUCUGAUUAGCUUGUUGGCGGGGUAACGGCCCACCAAGGCGACGAUCAGUAGGGGUUCUGAGAGGAAGGUCCCCCACAUUGGAACUGAGACACGGUCCAAACUCCUACGGGAGGCAGCAGUGAGGAAUAUUGGUCAAUGGGCGAGAGCCUGAACCAGCCAAGUAGCGUGCAGGAUGACGGCCCUAUGGGUUGUAAACUGCUUUUAUAAGGGAAUAAAGUGAGCCUCGUGAGGCUUUUUGCAUGUACCUUAUGAAUAAGGACCGGCUAAUUCCGUGCCAGCAGCCGCGGUAAUACGGAAGGUCCGGGCGUUAUCCGGAUUUAUUGGGUUUAAAGGGAGCGUAGGCCGGAGAUUAAGCGUGUUGUGAAAUGUAGACGCUCAACGUCUGCACUGCAGCGCGAACUGGUUUCCUUGAGUACGCACAAAGUGGGCGGAAUUCGUGGUGUAGCGGUGAAAUGCUUAGAUAUCACGAAGAACUCCGAUUGCGAAGGCAGCUCACUGGAGCGCAACUGACGCUGAAGCUCGAAAGUGCGGGUAUCGAACAGGAUUAGAUACCCUGGUAGUCCGCACGGUAAACGAUGGAUGCCCGCUGUUGGUCUGAAUAGGUCAG